GACAGACCUGCUGCAGUGGUGCCUGGAGUCGGGCAGCAUCCCCAUCCUGUGCCCCAUCGGGGAGACGGCCGCGCGCCGCUCCGUGCUUCUCGACUCCCUGGAGGUGACCGCGUCGCUGGCCAAGGCGCUGCGGCCCACCAAAAUCAUCUUCCUCAAUAACAUAGGCGGCCUGCGCGACAGCAGUCAUAAGGUCCUGAGUAACGUGAACCUGCCCGCCGACCUGGACCUGGUGUGCAACGCCGAGUGGGUGAGCACAAAAGAACGGCAGCAGAUGCGGCUCAUCGUGGACGUGCUCAGCCGCCUGCCCCACCACUCCUCGGCCGUCAUCACCGCCGCUAGCACGCUGCUCACUGAGCUCUUUAGCAACAAGGGUGAGGGCGGUGGGCGGGCCGGGGACUGGGUCCCGGGAGUGAGCACUGGCCGGGGCUGGGUGUCUGCGGUCAGGAGGAGCGGUUUCUCCUCCUGUCCAGGAGCCGUAGGAGGGGGCGGGGGGUGUCACAGCAAUGGCUCCUGCUGCUGCUGAAACCCGGGGGAGGUGAGAGAGGAGGACACCCAGUGUACUGGAAGGGAACUCCGAAGGAAUUAAAGAAAUCGGAGGGACUAGGGGGGAGAAGGAGGGGCCCCCGGUGGGCGUGUCCAGGGGGCGGGACCACAAGGGAGGUGUUCGCCAGGAGAGAUGGGCGGGGCUUAGGUGGGUGGGCCGGGUCGUGGCGGGAGACAGACUUCAAGGAGAAAGGCAGGACUAACGGAAGUGGGUGGGGCUCCAGGCGACUGGAGGAGCUUGGGGCACAAUCUCUGCCUAGGAAAAGCAUCUCCUUGAAUGAAAAUCACUGACAAAUCUAUGCAGACCACUCAAAUCAUUUCACUGUGGAGGUCUCCCAAAGACGGAAAUUGUCCCACCAGCCCCUGCCCUACCUGCAGUCCCCACCAGGCUGCGCAAACGGCUCUCCAGCCAGACUAGCCCCUCCCCCUCCUCCUCCAGGGUCCGGGACCCUGUUCAAGAACGCCGAGCGAAUGCUACGGGUGCGCAGCCUGGACAAGCUGGACCAGGGCCGUCUAGUGGACCUGGUCAACGCCAGCUUCGGCAAGAAGCUCAGGGACGACUACCUGGCCUCGCUGCGCCCGCGGCUGCACUCCAUCUACGUCUCCGAGGGGUACAACGCCGCCGCCAUUCUGACCAUGGAGCCCGUCCUGGGGGGCACCCCGUACCUGGACAAAUUUGUGGUGAGCUCCAGCCGCCAGGGCCAAGGCUCCGGCCAGAUGCUGUGGGAGUGCCUGCGGCGGGACCUUCAGACACUUUUCUGGCGCUCCCGGGUCACCAACCCCAUCAAUCCCUGGUACUUCAAACACAGUGACGGCAGCUUCUCCAACAAGCAGUGGAUCUUCUUCUGGUUUGGCCUGGCUGAUAUCCGGGACUCCUAUGAGUUGGUCAACCAUGCCAAGGGACUGCCAGACUCCUUUCACAAGCCAGCUUCUGACCCAGGCAGCUGACCCUCACCAUGGAUGCUACAGGCCCUGGAAUGGCCAGGGUGGACCAAAAGCCAUGCCAGUUGGGCAUGACCCCAGGCAGCCAGCCACAGGCUGGAGGGGGCUUGUUGGCUGAGUGAUCUGCAGAGGAGAAAGCAGCCCCAGCUCUGCCCAGAGGAGGUGCUGAAGUGGGACAAGCACAGGAAAGAGGGGGACCAGUCUAGGACCCCAACUCAACUCACUCUAAAGCCACAACCAAAUGGCCUUCGAUUUUCAACCUGGGGAUUAGGGGAGGGGAGGGUGCCUUCCAGGGCUCUACUCAGGACUAACCCUAAGGGUGGACUAGUUUCUGUGCCUCUGUGCUAUGUUUUGAGGCUCCCUUACCCAAAAUAACACCCCUGCCUGUGUGAUAUUCUACCAUUCAUUUUAAUUCCUUUGGGUCUUGCAGUUUUUCAGGAGGCCUUGAUUAAAAUGCAAACACUUGUC
rnacentral:sRNA from 1 species